UAAAAUUUCAUUAUCCGGAUCCGUAUCCGGAUCCGCCGAAUCCGUAAAAUCAAGAUCCGGAUCUGGAUACGGACCCCCCAGAUAUCCGUUUUUUUGGAUCGGAUCCGAGAAAAUCCUGGAUCGGAUAACGGAUCUCGGAUAUAAGUUUCAGACCUAGUUUUUGUUAUUUGUAGCAGUGUUGUGUCUAGAUCCGCCACCGGCCCAGUUGCAAAAAAAAAAUGAUAGUUGAAAUGACGAAAAUCAAUCAGCAUCGUAAUGGUGAACUGGUAACACUGUCACGAGCUAUACACAUGGGCGCCUCCUUCUACGCGUCUUCCCUUCGAUGAUCAUGACAGCUCUUUCUUUCUUUUUAACUCCGACAGCCCUAUUUCAGUACAAUAGUUUUCUUUUCUUUUUCGUUAUAAAUAAUUUAAUAACAUAAAAAUUUUGGCAACGUUUUUUCGUCAACUAAAAUUUGAACCAUUUUUCGAUUUAUGCGUAUCAUCGUUUUAAAAUUAGUAACGUUCUAAAAUUCAAACUAAUUCAAACUAAUCUGACGAGCGAAGCAGACUCAGCCGCGAACCAGAUUAUAUACCACAAC
rnacentral:lncRNA from 1 species